UACGUAGGGAGCAAGCGUUGUUCGGAUUUACUGGGCGUAAAGGGCGCGUAGGCGGUCAGCACAAGUCAGUUGUGAAAUCUCCGGGCUUAACUCGGAAAGGUCAACUGAUACUGUGCGACUAGAGUGCAGAAGAGGAAAGCGGAAUUCCACGUGUAGCGGUGAAAUGCGUAGAGAUGUGGAGGAACACCAGUGGCGAAGGCGGCUUUCUGGUCUGUAACUGACGCUGAGGCGCGAAAGCGUGGGGAGCAAACAGG
rnacentral:rRNA from 1 species